AUACGUAGGGGGCGAGCGUUGUCCGGAAUGAUUGGGCGUAAAGGGCGCGUAGGCGGCCCGGUAAGUCUGGAGUGAAAGUCCUGUUUUUAAGAUGGGAAUUGCUUUGGAUACUGUCGGGCUUGAGUGCAGGAGAGGUAAGUGGAAUUCCCAGUGUAGCGGUGAAAUGCGUAGAGAUUGGGAGGAACACCAGUGGCGAAGGCGACUUACUGGACUGUAACUGACGCUGAGGCGCGAAAGUGUGGGGAGCAAACAGGAUUAGAUACCCUGGUAGUCCACGCCGUAAACGAUGGGCGCUCGUCGUCGGCGGCAGACAGUCGGCGGCCAAGCGAAAGCGAUAAGCGCCCCACCUGGGGAGUACGGUCGCAAGGCUGAAACUCAAAGGAAUUGGCGGGG
rnacentral:rRNA from 1 species